rnacentral:rRNA from 1 species
ACCUCGGAUCAGGUAGGGAUACCCGCUGAACUUAAGCAUAUCAAUAAGCGGAGGAAAAGAAACCAACCGGGAUUGCCUCAGUAACGGCGAGUGAAGCGGCAAGAGCUCAAAUUUGAAAGCUGGCCCCUCCGGGGUCCGCGUUGUAAUUUGCAGAGGAUGCUUCGGGCUCAGCCCCCGUCUAAGUGCCCUGGAACGGGCCGUCGGAGAGGGUGAGAAUCCCGUCUGGGACGGGGUGCCUGGGUCCAUGUGAAGCUCCUUCGACGAGUCGAGUUGUUUGGGAAUGCAGCUCUAAAUGGGUGGUAAAUUUCAUCUAAAGCUAAAUACUGGCCGGAGACCGAUAGCGCACAAGUAGAGUGAUCGAAAGAUGAAAAGCACUUUGAAAAGAGAGUUAAACAGCACGUGAAAUUGUUGAAAGGGAAGCGCUUGCGAUCAGACUCGCCUGCGGGGUUCAGCCGGCAUUCGUGCCGGUGUACUUCCCCGUGGGCGGGCCAGCGUCGGUUCGGGUGGCCGGUCAAAGGCCCCGGGAAUGUGUCGCCCUCCGGGGCGUCUUAUAGCCCGGGGUGCCAUGCGGCCUACCUGGACCGAGGAACGCGCUUCGGCUCGGACGCUGGCGUAAUGGUCGUAAGCGACC